rnacentral:lncRNA from 1 species
CAUGACUUGCCCUGCAUUACAAAAGCUCAUCAGCAAAUGUGCUCUGGGGACGCUGACUUGGAUGCUAUGUUCUAACAGCUGAAUUUACAGAAUAAAACUGGCUCAGUGGCCUUUGAGGGUGACAUGGAUACAGAACUGGCCUAUUUCAGUCAUAAGUAAAAUCAUUCUUUCCUGGAUGAACUAAGCUCAAAUUAAAGAAGUGAUUGUAAAGAUUAAAAGAAGCAAGAAUGUAAAAAGACUGACCUUGGCAUCCAGGAGCCUGCUAAGAAAUACCUCUUGGACCUUCCUGCUCUCCCAAAGAAAGUAAGCAAGCCACAACACCAGCAUCAAACAAGAGCAGUUCCUUCCUUCCACCAGAACAAUCUGCUGAAAUAUCCAACCUCAGGACUGGAGAUUGGCUGCCAG